rnacentral:rRNA from 1 species
AGUGAACGCUGGCGGUAGGCCUAACACAUGCAAGUCGAACGGCAGCACAGUAAGAGCUUGCUCUUACGGGUGGCGAGUGGCGGACGGGUGAGGAAUACAUCGGAAUCUACUUUUUCGUGGGGGAUAACGUAGGGAAACUUACGCUAAUACCGCAUACGACCUACGGGUGAAAGCAGGGGAUCUUCGGACCUUGCGCGAUUGAAUGAGCCGAUGUCGGAUUAGCUAGUUGGCGGGGUAAAGGCCCACCAAGGCGACGAUCCGUAGCUGGUCUGAGAGGAUGAUCAGCCACACUGGAACUGAGACACGGUCCAGACUCCUACGGGAGGCAGCAGUGGGGAAUAUUGGACAAUGGGCGCAAGCCUGACCCAGCCAUACCGCGUGGGUGAAGAAGGCCUUCGGGUUGUAAAGCCCUUUUGUUGGGAAAGAAAAGCAGCAGGUUAAUACCCCGCUGUUCUGACGGUACCCAAAGAAUAAGCACCGGCUAACUUCGG